rnacentral:rRNA from 1 species
GACGAACGCUGGCGGCGUGCCUAAUACAUGCAAGUAGAACGCACAGUUUAUACCGUAGCUUGCUACACCAUAGACUGUGAGUUGCGAACGGGUGAGUAACGCGUAGGUAACCUGCCUGGUAGCGGGGGAUAACUAUUGGAAACGAUAGCUAAUACCGCAUAAUAUUGAUUAUUGCAUGAUAAUUAAUUGAAAGGUGCAAUUGCACCACUACCAGAUGGACCUGCGUUGUAUUAGCUAGUAGGUGAGGUAACGGCUCACCUAGGCGACGAUACAUAGCCGACCUGAGAGGGUGAGCGGCCACACUGGGACGGGAACACGGCCCGCACCCCUACGGGAGGCAGCAGGAGGGGAUCUUCAGCAAUGGACGAAGGUCGGACCGAGCAACGCCGCGUGAGUGAAGGAGGUUUUCGGGUCGUAAAGCUCUGUUGUAAGAGAAGAACGGGUGUGAGAGUGGAAAGUUCAGACUGUGACGGUAUCUUACCAAAAAGGGACGGCUAACUACGUG